AUUGAACGCUGGCGGCAUGCCUUACACAUGCAAGUCGAACGGCAGCACGGGAGCAAUCCUGGUGGCGAGUGGCGAACGGGUGAGUAAUAUAUCGGAACGUGCCCAGUAGUGGGGGAUAACUGCUCGAAAGAGCAGCUAAUACCGCAUACGACCUGAGGGUGAAAGGGGGGGAGUCGCAAGACCUCUCGCUAUUGGAGCGGCCGAUAUCAGAUUAGCUAGUUGGUGGGGUAAAGGCCUACCAAGGCAACGAUCUGUAGUUGGUCUGAGAGGACGACCAGCCACACUGGGACUGAGACACGGCCCAGACUCCUACGGGAGGCAGCAGUGGGGAAUUUUGGACAAUGGGCGCAAGCCUGAUCCAGCAAUGCCGCGUGCAGGAAGAAGGCCUCGUUGGUAAC
rnacentral:rRNA from 1 species